GAUGAAGAACGCAGCGAAAUGCGAUAAGUAAUGUGAAUUGCAGAAUUCAGUGAAUCAUCGAAUCUUUGAACGCACAUUGCGCCCGCCAGUAUUCUGGCGGGCAUGCCUGUUCGAGCGUCAUUACAACCCUCAGGCCCCCGGGCCUGGCUUUGGGGAUCGGCGGAAGCCCCCUGCGGGCACAACGCCGUCCCCCAAAUACAGUGGCGGUCCCGCCGCAGCUUCCAUUGCGUAGUAGCUAACACCUCGCAACUGGAGAGCGGCGCGGCCACGCCGUAAAACACCCAACUUCUGAAUGUUGACCUCGAAUCAGGUAGGAAUACCCGCUGAACUUAAGCAUAUCAAUAAGCGGAGGA
rnacentral:misc_RNA from 1 species